AUUGAACGCUGGCGGCAGGCCUAACACAUGCAAGUCGAACGAGUGGCGGACGGGUGAGUAAUGUCUGGGAAACUGCCUGAUGGAGGGGGAUAACUACUGGAAACGGUAGCUAAUACCGCAUACCAUCGGAUGUGCCCAGAUGGGAUUAGCUAGUAGGUGGGGUAACGGCUAACCUAGGCGACGAUCCCUAGCUGGUCAGAGAGGAUGACCAGCAACACUGGAACGGAGCCACGGUCCAGACUCCUACGGGGGGUAGCAUGGGGGAAUAUUGCACAUUGGGCGCAAUCCUGCUGCAGCCAUGCCGCGUGUAUGAAGAAGGCCUUCGGGUUGUAAAGUACUUUCAGCGGGGAGGCGUUACCCGAAGAAGAAGCACCGGCUAACUCCGUGCCAGCAGCCGCGGUAAUAC
rnacentral:rRNA from 1 species